AACGAACGCUGGCGGCGUGGAUAAGACAUGCAAGUCGAACGGGACAGACCGAGUAGCAAUAUUUGGAAUGUUCAGUGGCGAACGGGUGCGUAACACGUGGAUAACAUUCCGGAAAGCGGGGAAUAGCCCAGGGAAACUUGGAUUAAUACCGUAUGUGGCCGCAAGGCUAAAGACGGGGACCGCAAGGCCUGUCACUUUCCGAUUGGUCCGCGGCCUAUCAGCUAGUUGGCGGGGUAAUGGCCCACCAAGGCUACGACGGGUAGCUGGUCUUAGAGGACGACCAGCCACACUGGAACUGAGACACGGUCCAGACACCUACGGGUGGCAGCAGUCGAGAAUCUUUCACAAUGGGGGCAACCCUGAUGGAGCGACGCCGCGUGGAGGAUAAGGUCUUCGGAUUGUAAACUCCUGUCAUGCGAGAACAAGGUACUCAGGCUAAUAACCUGAUUGUUUGAUGGUACCGCAGGAGGAAGAGACGGCUAACUCUGUGCCAGCCGCCGCCGUAAGAC
rnacentral:rRNA from 1 species